AGUUUACAACUCCCAAACCCAAUGUGAACGUUACCAAACUGUUGCCUCGGCGGGAUCUCUGCCCCGGGUGCGUCGCAGCCCCGGACCAAGGCGCCCGCCGGAGGACCAACCAAAACUCUUAUUGUAUACCCCCUCGCGGGUUUUUUUAUAAUCUGAGCCUUCUCGGCGCCUCUCGUAGGCGUUUCGAAAAUGAAUCAAAACUUUCAACAACGGAUCUCUUGGUUCUGGCAUCGAUGAAGAACGCAGCGAAAUGCGAUAAGUAAUGUGAAUUGCAGAAUUCAGUGAAUCAUCGAAUCUUUGAACGCACAUUGCGCCCGCCAGUAUUCUGGCGGGCAUGCCUGUCCGAGCGUCAUUUCAACCCUCGAACCCCUCCGGGGGGUCGGCGUUGGGGAUCGGCCCUCCCUUAGCGGGUGGCCGUCUCCGAAAUACAGUGGCGGUCUCGCCGCAGCCUCUCCUGCGCAGUAGUUUGCACACUCGCAUCGGGAGCGCGGCGCGUCCACAGCCGUUAAACACCCAACUUCUGAAAUGUUGACCUCGGAUCAGGUAGGAAUACCCGCUGAACUUAAGCAUAUCAAUAAGCGGAGGAAAAGAAACCAACAGGGAUUGCCCCAGUAACGGCGAGUGAAGCGGCAACAGCUCAAAUUUGAAAUCUGGUCCCUAGGGCCCGAGUUGUAAUUUGUAGAGGAUGCUUUUGGUGAGGUGCCGCCCGAGUUNNCUGGAACGGGACGCCACAGAGGGUGAGAGCCCCGUCUGGCUGNNGCCGAGCCUCUGUAAAGCUCCUUCGACGAGUCGAGUAGUUUGGGAAUGCUGCUCAAAAUGGGAGGUAUAUGUCUUCUAAAG
rnacentral:rRNA from 1 species